rnacentral:tRNA from 2 species
AUUUAAGUAGUUUAAAAAAAAUUUUAAUUUGUGGAGUUAAAGAUGUUGAUAAACCUUAAGUA